UUCACUUGCCUGGUCGGGCAAGUGGGUCAGAAAUCUACUUGCCCAAAGUCAAUUUUUACCUGCCCUUGUUCAAAUUGUUUUAUUUAUCAGCAGUUAUCAAAUAACAACAAAGACUAAAGCACAGUUUCUUUCAAAUAAUGGAAUAGACUCCGUAACCUGAUGGUGGAUGUAUGAACCUCAGUAGUGGAUGGAAAGCAGCAACCAUGUUCUCAGCGGUUUCUUGAUUUAUGCUGAAGCACUGGCCUACACUGCUCCUCAAGCCUGACUCCAUCUGAUGUCCGGCGUAUGCCCUAUUGUCAAAGAAAAUCUUCACCUUCACUAGAAAUCCUCUUGGUAAGACUUGAACUGUGGUCAGCAGAGUUGAAGGCUGAUAAAACUCAUCUACUAAACCAAACAGGUCUGUGUAUCAUUCAAUUAUGUCAUUUAAUCUGUGCUCAAGAUUUCCUUGUUGUUGUUGUUUUUUGGGUGGGUCACUUAAUAAACAAGAAAAUUAAAAUAAUAUAUCAAGUUUUAUUUCACACAAAUAUUGUUUCCUUCACAAACAGAUUCACCAGAAGUUGAUGCUGUGUAUUAGAAAGACAUUCAGGGUUUGUUUCAUCUUGAGUCAUGUAAUAACAGCCUAAUGAUCCAACAGGUACAUUUAAAUAAAAAUGUGGCCGAUAAAUAUUUUUUAUUCAUAUUUCAAUCUUUAAACAUUGCAUUAAUUUAACAAAAUGAUAACUAGUAAAACAGCUCUAUGAAGUGUAAAACAAUGAUUUCAUUCUUUGGAACAUUUUAAACAUGCAUGUUUUUAUCCUGAAUGUACAUUUACUACAUACAGUAUAUUGUGUUUCAUUUUUCUUUUGGGGCUCUGUUGCACAUCUGUAACUAAUGGCCAAGUGAGCACAGAAUUGAAUUUGUAGAUAAUUACAUUUGGUCGAGUACAAAUAAAUGUCAAAUAUUUGACAAAACAGGCUCAACUCAAGGUCCAGUUGAGGGCUUGUUCUGGAGCUUUCGACCGUAUCACACAGUCUUCAUCAGCAGAAAGUGGGUCAGGGUGCGCUGUGUUGUUUCUCAGUGUCAAGGCUUUAGAAAAGCAGCAACAUUUGCUAUGUAGCUUGUCAAAUGAUCAUGAAUGUGAAAUAAUGAGUUCUUAAAGGUAGAUUGUUUUGCAUGUUUUCAUGGAUCUUGUUUAAGUUUGACCAAUAGUUUUGUUAUUUUGGUGAAGACAAGCAAAUUUCAACACAAUUACAGGCCUUCUUGUAAAUGUGUUGUGUAAAAUAUACUGAGGAAAGACAGCAUUUCAACUUUACCAAUCAAACAGAAGAAAAAAUGCACAAACUUGUAUAUCUAAGAUGCAGUAGCUUGUUAUCAAAACACCUGUUGACAUUUCUGACCGUUGCAUCAUAUUGUUGUCAUGAACGAUCUGUUUCAUUAUCACUUGACUCAUGUUUUAAUUUCUUUCUUUAUAUACCUAUUCAGUCAUGGUUGGAAAACAGAAAAUCCAUUGCAUUAAUAAACUAUUAUACAGUAAGUGUCGGUGAACUUUCCUGCACCACACUGCAGAGUGGAGUUUCUCUUUCACUCAUUCAUUGUUUUCAAUUCGGUUUCCCAGCUGUGAGCAGGGAAAAUGCACUGCACUGUCCUCUCCUCUCCCUACCCCGUCUCGCUCCCCGUCAACUGAAGUCCUUUCAUAAUGAAUGGCAAGGUACGAUAAUAGCCUUCAGGUUGCCAUAGAAAUGAGACAGGGGCCCUGUAUGUGAUUUUUUUUUUCUUUCUUUUUUUUUUUUUUUCCUCCAAGCAUAAAUGACAGAGGACUCUGAGGAAAACUCCCCCCCACCUCACCCCACCUCACCCUCACAGGCAGCUCUGUACUUUGCUUCCAUCUCUUCCUCCUCUCACAUAUUUCCUUUAAUCAGCAUUUCUUCUUUCUUCUAGGCCUAUCUCAUCUGACUUGAUGAAUUUAUACAGGAAUUAUGUGAGUUGAAAGCGAUUAAGCUGCCAUGAAUGUAACAGAAACCAGAAGUGUUUGAUCAGUCCUCCACUAUGCAGCGUUUGUUCACAUGUCACUUGCACUACGAACAGUCCGGUCAGUUUUUAUACCUGGAGCUGUGAGGUCCACAGUCCACGCACGCUUAGAUCACAAACACCAGGACAACUUCACAAAAGCAGUCUGAUGCUGAACGAUCCAAGACUGGAGGGAGCAGAUGGAGCUUUUUCACCACACGAGGCAUCCGCCCAACUCAGGUCUCCUCCCUGCAUUGAGCAUCUCAGUGCAGCUGCUAGUGUGGCCGUUGAAACUGAGCUCUUGUGAUCUCAGUUCACAGCCAGCAGCUGCUCUCAAGCUAAACAAAGUAUUGAUCCAGUCUGUCAUUUUCACACUCUCGUGUCUGGAGGUUGGUGAAGAUGUUCGAUGUGUUUAUGUCAUGUUUGUGGUGUCAAGGAGUGGCUCGGUGAUAAAGUGAGUGUGUGUAAUGGAUGAGAUGAACCAGAGGCAGCAGGAAAGAUGUGUAAAGAACAGCUUCAUGAAUCAUCAAAGGGCAGCUAAGAUUAUCGAGAGGUGACAGCUUUAACAACUGUUGAUUUUAACAUAACAAGCAAAUAGAAUGAAUAUCUAUGAAUACAAAUGUGACAACCCGGUCUCACAUCAAAAUGUGUAAUAGCUACA